rnacentral:rRNA from 1 species
UAGGGAAUCUUCGGCAAUGGGGGCAACCCUGACCGAGCAACGCCGCGUGAGUGAAGAAGGUUUUCGGAUCGUAAAGCUCUGUUGUAAGUCAAGAACGGGUGUGAGAGUGGAAAGUUCACACUGUGACGGUAGCUUACCAGAAAGGGACGGCUAACUACGUGCCAGCAGCCGCGGUAAUACGUAGGUCCCGAGCGUUGUCCGGAUUUAUUGGGCGUAAAGCGAGCGCAGGCGGUUUGAUAAGUCUGAAGUUAAAGGCUGUGGCUCAACCAUAGUUCGCUUUGGAAACUGUCAAACUUGAGUGCAGAAGGGGAGAGUGGAAUUCCAUGUGUAGCGGUGAAAUGCGUAGAUAUAUGGAGGAACACCGGUGGCGAAAGCGGCUCUCUGGUCUGUAACUGACGCUGAGGCUCGAAAGCGUGGGGAGCGAACAGGAUUAGAUACCCUGGUAGUCCACGCCGUAAACGAUGAGUGCUAGGUGUUGGAUCCUUUCCGGGAUUCAGUGCCGCAGCUAACGCAUUAAGCACUCCGCCUGGGGAGUACGACCGCAAGGUUGAAACUCUAAAGUGAUUGAC